rnacentral:sRNA from 1 species
GCCGGCGUCGCGGUUGCUCGCGCUCUGGGCCCUGGCGGCUGUGGCUGUACCCGGCUCCGGGGCGGAGGGCGACGGCGGGUGGUGAGCGGCCCGGGAGGGGCCGGGCGGUGGGUCACGUGCGGCGGGCGGGGCGCGGGCUGACCCAGCUGUGCCCGCAGGCGCCCGGGCGGGCCGGGGGCCGUGGCGGAGGAGGAGCGCUGCACGGUGGAGCGUCGGGCCGACCUCACCUACGCGGAGUUCGUGCAGCAGUACGUGCGCCCCUGAUCGCGGAGGUCGCGUCCUGUUCACCGGCCCGUCUGCCCCGACCGCCCAAGGCCGCCUUCCCCUGACCUCGCGCGCACGCGUGGGGCUGGGGCGGCGAGGGUGGCGGUCCGGCCUGGCCGCGACUCUGCCCUUCUUUCCAGGUACGCCUUCGUCAGGCCCGUCAUCCUGCAGGGACUCACGGACAACUCGGUGAGCGCGUGCCCGUCCGUCCCCGGCCACUCUCGCCCGUGCUGGGCCCGGCCACUAAGUCCCCUCCCCGCCCCCGCAGAGGUUCCGGGCCCUGUGCUCCCGCGAAAGGUUGCUGGCUUCGUUUGGGGACAGAGUGGUCCGGCUGAGCACCGCCAACACCUACUCCUACCACAAAGUGGACUUGCCCUUCCAGGAGUAUGUGGAGCAGCUGCUGCACCCCCAGGACCCCACCUCCCUGGGCAAUGACACCCUGUACUUCUUCGGGGACAACAACUUCACCGAGUGGGCCUCUCUCUUUCGGCACUACUCCCCACCCCCAUUUGGCCUGCUGGGAACCGCUCCAG